UGUGAGGUAUGCUGGAGGUAUCAGAAGUGCGAAUGCUGACAUAAGUAACGAUAAAGCGGGUGAAAAGCCCGCUCGCCGGAAGACCAAGGGUUCCUGUCCAACGUUAAUCGGGGCAGGGUGAGUCGACCCCUAAGGCGAGGCCGAAAGGCGUAGUCGAUGGGAAACAGGUUAAUAUUCCUGUACUUGGUGUUACUGCGAAGGGGGGACGGAGAAGGCUAUGUUGGCCGGGCGACGGUUGUCCCGGUUUAAGCGUGUAGGCUGGUUUUCCAGGCAAAUCCGGAAAAUCAAGGCUGAGGCGUGAUGACGAGGCACUACGGUGCUGAAGCAACAAAUGCCCUGCUUCCAGGAAAAGCCUCUAAGCAUCAGGUAACAUCAAAUCGUACCCCAAACCGACACAGGUGGUCAGGUAGAGAAUACCAAGGCGCUUGAGAGAACUCGGGUGAAGGAACUAGGCAAAAUGGUGCCGUAACUUCGGGAGAAGG
rnacentral:rRNA from 1 species